UCACCAAUCAAGCCUGGCUUGGUAUUGGGCGCCCGCGGUCUCCCCCGCGCGCCUUAAUUUCUCCGGCCGAGCCGUCCGUCUCUCAGCGUUGUGGCAUCAAUUCCGCUAGGCGAGAGGGAGGGCGUCGCGCCGUUAAACCCUUUUAUCAA
rnacentral:misc_RNA from 1 species